rnacentral:pre_miRNA from 1 species
AAACAGCCCCCUAUGUUUUGAUUCUUUGACAGUUUUUGACCCCCAAGGCAAAAAAAAAUAAAAAAAAUUGACCCGUGGCACCUCACUUAGGGUGCCACGUCAGUGUUGACCGAGUCAACAAUGGACUGGGGGUCCAAAACUGCCAAAUAAUCAAAACAUAGGGGGCUGUUU